rnacentral:rRNA from 1 species
UACAGAGGUCUCAAGCGUUGUUCGGAUUCAUUGGGCGUAAAGGGUGCGUAGGCGGCGCGGUAAGUCGGGUGUGAAAUCUUGGAGCUUAACUCCGAAACUGCAUUCGAUACUGCCGUGCUUGAGGACUGGAGAGGAGACUGGAAUUUACGGUGUAGCGGUGAAAUGCGUAGAUAUCGUAAGGAAGACCAGUGGCGAAGGCGGCUACCUGGCCUAAUACUGACACUGAGGCACGAAAGCGUGGGGAGCAAACAGG